UAAAAAAAGGUAAGCUACUAAGAGCGAAUGGUGGAUGCCUUGACUGGUAAAGGCGAUGAAGGACGUACUAGACUGCGAUAAGCUACGGGGAGCUGUCAAGAAGCUUUGAUCCGUAGAUUUCCGAAUGGGGCAACCCAAUGUAUAGAGAUAUACAUUACCUAUAUAGGAGCGAACGAGGGGAAUUGAAACAUCUUAGUACCCUCAGGAAAAGAAAUCAAUAGAGAUUGCGUCAGUAGCGGCGAGCGAAAGCGCAAGAGGGCAAACCCAGUGCUUGCACUGGGGGUUGUAGGACUGCAAUGUGCAAGAGGUAAGUUUAGCAGAACAUUCUGGAAAGUAUAACCAUAGAGGGUGAUAGUCCCGUAUGCGAAAAACAAACCUUAGCUAGCAGUAUCCUGAGUAGGGCGGGACACGAGGAAUCCUGUCUGAAUCCGGGUCGACCACGAUCCAACCCUAAAUACUAAUACCAGAUCGAUAGUGCACAAGUACCGUGAGGGAAAGGUGAAAAGAACUGAGGUGAUCAGAGUGAAAUAGAACCUGAAACCAUUUGCUUACAAUCAUUCAGAGCCCUAUGUAGCAAUACAGGGUGAUGGACUGCCUUUUGCAUAAUGAGCCUGCGAGUUGUGGUGUCUGGCAAGGUUAAGCAAACGCGAAGCCGUAGCGAAAGCGAGUCUGAAUAGGGCGCUUAGUCAGAUGCUGCAGACCCGAAACGAAGUGAUCUAUCCAUGAGCAAGUUGAAGCUAGUGUAAGAACUAGUGGAGGACUGAACCCAUAGGCGUUGAAAAGCCCCGGGAUGACUUGUGGAUAGGGGUGAAAGGCCAAUCAAACUUCGUGAUAGCUGGUUCUCUCCGAAAUAUAUUUAGGUAUAGCGUUGUGUCGUAAUAUAAGGGGGUAGAGCACUGAAUGGGCUAGGGCAUACACCAAUGUACCAAACCCUAUCAAACUCCGAAUACCUUAUAUGUAAUCACAGCAGUCAGGCGGCGAGUGAUAAAAUCCGUCGUCAAGAGGGAAACAACCCAG
rnacentral:rRNA from 1 species